ensembl:misc_RNA Metazoa_SRP Metazoan signal recognition particle RNA
GCUGGGUGUGGUGGUACAUGCCUUGUAGUCCCGGCGACUCAGGAGGCUGAGACAGGAGGAUCACUGGAACCCAGGAGCUCUGAGCACUAUGCUGAUUGGGUGUCUGCAUUAAGUUCAGCAUCAGUAUGGUGACUUUCUGGGAGCAGGGGGCCACCAGGUUGCCUAAGGAGCGGUGAAUUGGCCCAGGUUGGAAACAGAGCAGGUCAAAACUCCUGUGCUGAUUGGUAGUGGGAUCAUGCCUGUGAAUAGCUACUGUGCUCCCGCCUGGGCAACAUAGUGACAUCCCCAUCUCU